rnacentral:misc_RNA from 1 species
CUAAUCCCUCUUUUAACCAUCCGUGGCGCAUGCUCGGAAAACAUGAGCGCCGAAGCCGCACGUAUCCCUGACGAGGACGCCGAGACGCAGAUCCAGGCCGCCUCCAUUGUCCUGAAGCUCCGCGGCCUUGGCAUCACCGAUCGCGCGGUGGUGAAGGCGAUCGAAACGGUGCCACGAACGCUCUUCGUGCCGGGCGAGUUGCGGCAUCACGCCUAUUCCGACCACGCACUGCCGAUCGAUUGCGGGCAGAUGAUCUCGGCGCCCUCGAUCGUGGCGCUGAUGACGUCGGCGCUCGACAUAAGCGACCGGCACGCCGUUCUGGAGAUCGGCACCGGGA